UACGUAGGGUGCGAGCGUUGUCCGGAUUUACUGGGCGUAAAGAGCGCGCAGGCGGUCGACCAAGUCGCGUGUGAAAGCCCCCCGGCUCAACUGGGGAGGGUCACGCGAUACUGAUCGACUCGAAGGCAGGAGAGGGUAGUGGAAUUCCCGGUGUAGUGGUGAAAUGCGUAGAUAUCUGGAGGAACACCGGUGGCGAAGGCGGCAUCCUGGACCGAGAUCGACGCUGAGGCGCGAAAGCUAGGGGAGCAAACGGG
rnacentral:rRNA from 1 species